rnacentral:rRNA from 1 species
AUUGAACGCUGGCGGCAGGCCUAACACAUGCAAGUCGAACGAGUGGCGGACGUGUGAGUAAUGUCUGGGAAAUUGCCUGAUGGAGGGGGAUAACUACUGGAAACGGUAGCUAAUACCGCAUACCAUCGGAUGUGCCCAGAUGGGAUUAGCUAGUAGGUGGGGUAAAGGCUCACCAAGGCGACGACCCCUAUUUGGCCUCAGCGGAUGACCAGCCACACUGGGACGGAGACACGGUCCAGACGCCUACGGGAGGCAGCAGUGGGGAAUAUUGGACAAUGGACGCAAGCCGGAUGCAGCAAUGCCGCGUGUAUGAAGAAGGCCUUCGGGUUGUAAAGUACUUUCAGCGGGGAGGCGUUACCCGCAGAAGAAGCACCGGCUAACUCCGGGCCAGGAGCCGCGGGAAUAC